ACUGUGCGGGCUCUGAGGGUACAGCAAUCAUGAAGGCUUUGCUUGUUGCCCUGCUGGUGGCAGUCCUAUGUGCUGAGCAAGGUAAGGUGCUACAAAGGCUUGGGGCAGCCAGGUGGAGAGGAUGGAAAUACCAGAAGAGAAGUUAGAGAUAAUGCAAGAACAAGAGGAUUUGACUGCUUUUGCUGCGAUUGCUGAAGUAUCGGUAGUGCACUUUUUCUUUGGUAUUCCUUACUUCAGACGAUAUUUAGUGAGAUUGAGUCUUAGCCUCUGUUUGAGCUCUACCAAGGUGCUCAUACCCCACAGAAGAUGAGCUCGUGACCUGUGUUUCUCUCACUCUCAAGUACUAUGCUCUGAGCAUCUGAAGAUACACACGUGAACCAAAAAAUGCUAAGAGCUGAGGACCAUCAAUCCAGCCAGUUUGUUUGGAUAAUGCUUUCAGACAUAGGGUUUGAUUUUUAGGUGGUCCUAUGUGGAGCCAGAAGUUUGUCUUGAUGAUCUCUGUGGGACCCUUCCUGCUCAAAAUAUUCUAUGAUUCCAUGAAUUAAGCUGGGCUCAUGGUUUUGCCUUCAGUUUUCUUUUUGUUCCUGAAUGAAACUGCUGGAGUUGCUGAUAAAAAUAACUGGGCUACUGUUGAGGCUUCAUCUUCUGCCAGCGUUUCACUUUAUUUCCCACAAUGGCACUGCAAUUAAGAAACUAGGUUGCUGGCAGAUAUUUGAAAACCCAAGAGCUCUUUGCUCACCGCUUUGAUGAGCUUUCUUAAAUGCCUCAGAGUGAGUGCAUGUGUAAUGGGAUCCACAAUAUGUUGUGCUUGGCCCCUUUCAAAAGGAUAUAAAGAUAUGACUUGAUAACUGCCUUGAGAUAAUCAAAUAAAAAAACCACAACAGUUGCUCUCCCUGCAUGUUUGUAAUCCCAAGGAGUACUGCAAGCCUUUUUGCACUGCUAAGGCUAUUUCUGACUGCAUUUGCAAAGCUGGAGCUAAUGGAGGGAGGGUGGAGGCCAAACAUAGGCAAAGCUUCAUAACAACUGCAGUGUUUUAAGUGGUUUCCUGUCUUGCAUUAGUGAAAGAGAGCAUGAGUGCAUUUCUCUUGCUUUUGCACACGUACUGGAAGCUCGGUUCUGAAGGAAGUGUUUUCAAAUAGCUAUGUGUGAUUUAUCAGAGAAACAGAUCAAGAAAGACUAGAUGGAAUGAAAAAUGUGGUAACAUAUUGGUCGGACAGCAAGUCUGGAAUUGCUCUGGCACGGUACGCAAAGGAUAUCAAUCCACAGCUUGAGUCAGGGGACAUCCAGAGAGAAAGGUGGGAGGCUCAAUCCAAAUGAUAGAGAAGCACUGAGUGUUGUAUGAGUCAAUUAAAAGGAAGUUGAAAGAGCAUCUGGGUAGGUUUCAGAACAAGGUGAUCGGUCAUUUGGUGAAGUUCAAAGCUCCAAAUCUGUAUGCAAGGCACCUGAACUCCCUGCAGCAUAGACAGCUUCCUCCUUGUUUUGCUACACAUGUGAAAAUGAGCACUCCAACUGGAACUGCCUUAAAACCUACAAGUGUGAAGAACAUGAGAAUUACUGUACAACCACAUACAGUGCUGCUGGGUUUGGCAAAGACAUGGGAUAUCGCAUAACCAAGAAAUGUUCUGCAGACUGUCCUGAGACCAACACAGACUUUGGAGUGGUGGCCAUUUCCACCAAGUGCUGCAAGACCUCCCUGUGCAAUUUCAGUGGUGCCAACAGUGUGAAACUGAGCUACGCUGUGAUGUUCCUGGGGACAGUAGCCAGUUUGAUCUGUGUCAUUAGGGCAGGAUUGUGAUGAGGGUUGGGGGUGGGAGAAGACAUGGCAACCCAAGGGCCUACACAUGGUCUUGCCAAAAAGAUUAAACAAUGUCUUUUGUCAAGUAUCUCCACCAAGGUCUAUGCUAUUCUGCUUUUUUUUCCCAACACUUUUUUUUUUUUUUUCCCAGACCUGACCCACAAAAUGUCAUGGCAGUGUAGCUCCUAGUUUGGUUUUUCUUUUUCCCCCUUAUUGUUUUGUACUAAUUUUCCCCAAGAAAGCUAUUUUGAUUGCACAUACGUGACAAUUGUCAGACAAAAUAAAGAUUUAUGUUAUUCUAGAGAGUGUUUGAUAUAUCCACGCUAAGCUCAGCCUGAGAAAACAGCUCUGCUUGAACGGGCUGCAGCUUGAAUCUCUACAUCACAUCAGAUCCCUUUUAUUUUUUUAGUGUCUGGGAGUACUCUCUUGGCUGCCUUUCCCCAUUGACUCAAUUGCAUCCAGAAGCUCAAGAAAGACACUCCAUAAAGCCACAUG